rnacentral:rRNA from 1 species
AUUGAACGCUGGCGGCAUGCUUUACACAUGCAAGUCGAACGGUAACAGGCCGCAAGGUGCUGACGAGUGGCGAACGGGUGAGUAAUGCAUCGGAACGUGCCCAGUCGUGGGGGAUAACGCAGCGAAAGUUGCGCUAAUACCGCAUACGAUCUAUGGAUGAAAGCGGGGGACCGUAAGGCCUCGCGCGAUUGGAGCGGCCGAUGUCAGAUUAGGUAGUUGGUGGGGUAAAGGCUCACCAAGCCGACGAUCUGUAGCUGGUCUGAGAGGACGACCAGCCAGACUGGGCCUGAGGCACGGCCCAGACUCCUACGGGAGGCAGCAGUGGGGAAUUUUGGACAAUGGGCGCAAGCCUGAUCCAGCAAUGCCGCGUGCAGGAAGAAGGCCUUCGGGUUGUAAACUGCUUUUGUACGGAACGAAACGGUCCUGGUUAAUACCCCGGGCUAAUGACGGUACCGUAAGAAUAAGCACCGGCUAACUACGUGCCAGCCGCCGCAGUAACAC